ACAUGGCAGAACAUACCCACUGAGCCAUUUUUUUUGUCACAUGAAUAGUUUUGUAACAAAAAAUAUCAAGAAGUUCUCUUUAAAAAAAUUGAUGUAACAUUUAUUUUAAUGGGAACUGUAAAUAUUUUUACCUGCAGGCUGCAGCAAUAGACAAAUGCAUAAGUUUUCAGAAAAUGUAUUAUUUUACUGAUUUUGAUAUCUGGUUAAUAAGUUUUACUUGCUACAAGUUUUAAGUUUAGCAGGCACGCGUGAUAUUUUAACUGGCUAGGAAGAAGCUUAUCUCUGUUAUCUAUGUCUCUGUUAGAAUAUGAUUUUUAAUAAAGUAAGAAAAUGCAUUUAAAUACAAUGUAUGUCAAAACAGAUCUAAAUAAAAUAAUAUCCUUUUUUUCAGAUGUAUUACCAUCAUUGUUUUUUAUCAUUUACUGUUUCAACUGCUUGUCAUAACGAGGCUUUGAAUCUUGGCUAUCGGUUUCAUCUUCAUUGGUCAUGUAUUGCUUUACGGUCGUGACUUGCUCUAAUAAAAAGUAAAUUGAAUCUGCAGAAACUAUGUUAAGGCUUUGUUCUUAUCUGAUAAAUGUGAAUGUAUUAAAAUGUUGAUUUAUAUUUAAACAGGUGAACAUUUGGUUGGACCAUUUGACGAGUGUUUCUGCCAACAGAAAAAGGGGCAAGGCAAAGGCGUCCGAGACACGGUCUUUGAAAAAGGUUCAAGCUUCUAUCCAGGCCCAAGCUCCUAUCAAGGUUCAAGCUCCUAUAUAUCCCGACUCAAGCUCCCAUCCAGGCUCCUGCUCCUAUCCAGGCUCUUGAGGAAAGUGCACCAGAUU